rnacentral:rRNA from 1 species
CGGAUGUUGGCUUAGAAGCAGCCAUCAUUUAAAGAGUGCGUAAUAGCUCACUAGUCUAGUUUUUUGGCGCCGCAAGUAUAACGGGGCUAAGCUUAAUACCGAAUUUUUGGAUUCAAAAUUUUUUAAAGAUUAUGAGUGGUAGACAAAUGUUGUAUAAGGGCUGAAGUUUGAGCGAGAGCACAGAUGGACUUUAUACAAGUAAGAAUUCCGGCGUAAGUAACGAAUGAAAGUGAGAAUCUUUCUAGCCGAUUGAUCAAGGUUUCCGGGGCUAGGUUCGUCCUCCUCGGGUUAGUCGAUCCUAAGGUGAGGUCGAAAGACGUAAUUGAUGGACAACGGGUUAAUAUUCCCGUACUACCUUGGGCUGUUAAUGGGUGGACAAAAGAGGUUUAGGUAAGAGGAUUAAUGGAUUUCCUUUUAAGUUUCAAAGCAAGCUAGGGAUGAAAAUCACCUUAGUAUAUAUUGCAAGAAACGAAUACGAUUUCUAGUGGCGACACUAGAAAGAGUUACUAACAAUCGCUUUUCGAGAAAAGACUCUAGACAUAAGCUCAAGGUAUUCGUACCGAAAACGAACACACGUGAUCAAGGAGAAUAUCCUAAGGCUAGCGAGCUAACUACAGUUAAGGAACUCUGCAAAUUAACUCUGUAACUUAGGAAGAAAGAGUGCCCCAGAAGGAAUCUGGGGUCACAGUAAAGAACGAGGGCGGACUGUUUAACAAAAACACAGCUAUAUGCAAAAUUCGAAUAUGAAGUAUAUGUGGCGACACCUGCCCCGGUGCCAGAAGGUCAAAGAAGGUUGUUAGGCUAGUUUUCUAGCUGAAGCUUCUAACUUAAGCCCUGGGGUG